rnacentral:rRNA from 1 species
ACGAAGGGAGCUAGCGUUGUUCGGAAUCACUGGGCGUAAAGCGCACGUAGGCGGAUGUGUCAGUCAGGGGUGAAAUCCUGGAGCUCAACUCCAGAACUGCCUUUGAUACUGGGAAGCUUGAGUCCGGAAGAGGUGAGUGGAACUCCGAGUGUAGAGGUGAAAUUCGUAGAUAUUCGGAAGAACACCAGUGGCGAAGGCGGCUCACUGGUCCGGUACUGACGCUGAGGUGCGAAAGCGUGGGGAGCAAACGGGA